rnacentral:tRNA from 1 species
UCCUCGGUGGCUCAGAUGGAUAGAGCGUCUGCCAUGUAAGCAUAAGAUCCCGGGUUCGAGUCCCGGUCGGGGCA